GACGAACGCUGGCGGCGUGCUUAACACAUGCAAGUCGAACGGAGUGGCGAACGGGUGAGUAUCACGUGGGUGAUCUGCCUUGCACUUCGGGAUAAGCUUGGGAAACUGGGCCUAAUACCGGAUAGUGCAAGAUGAGGUCGCGGCCUAUCAGCUUGUUGGUGGGGUAAUUGCCUACCAAGGCGUCGACGGGUAGCCGGCCUGAGAGGGUGUACGGCCACAUUGGGACUGGGAUACGGCCCAGACUCCUACGGGAGGCAGUGGUGAGAAAUAUUGCACAAUGGGCGGGAGCGUGAUGCAGCGACGCCGCGUGGGGGAUGUAGGCCUUCGGGUUGUAAACUUCUUGCGACAGGGACGCGGUACCUGUAUAAGAAGCACCGGCUAACUACGUGCCAGCAGCCGCGGUAAUAC
rnacentral:rRNA from 1 species